ACCAAGGAGACUGGCGGGCUAUGGUCCAUGCAGUCCCAGGGAGUUGGACACGGCUGAAGCGACUUAGAACGCGUGCAUAACAAGUUCACAGCUAACAUCAUCCUCAAUGGUGAAAGGCUGAAAGCUUUUUCUUUAAUAUCAGGAACAAGGCUGCCCUCUCUAGCCACUCCUAUUCAACAUAGUAUCAGAAGUCUUAGCCAGAGCAAUAAGGAAAGAGAAGGAAAUAAAGGGCAUACACAUUGGAAAGGAAGAAGAAAAAUUGUCUAUGUUUCAGAUGAUAUGAUCCUGUAUGAUAGGAUAGAACAUGCUAAAGACACCACCAAGGAACUGAUAAACAAACUCAGUAAAGUUGCAGGAUAUAAUAUUAACCACAGAAAUCAUGUAGGAGAGUUCUAUACAUUAACAGUGAAAUAUCUGAAAGAGAAACAAAGAAAACAAUCCCACUUACAAGAGCAUCGAAAACAGCAAGACAUUUAGGAAUCAAUUUAACCAAAGAGGUGAAAGAUUUGUACACUGCAAGCUGUAAGAUUGAUAAAAGAAAUUGAAAACACAAAUAAAUGGAAAGAUAUGUGUUUAUGGGUCAGAAGAUUUAGUACUGUUUAAAAUGUCUGUAUUGCCCAAAGCCGUCUAUAAAUCUAAUGCAAUCCUUAUCAAAAUUCCAAUGCCAUUUUUUAUAGAAGUAGAAAAAAACAAUCCUAAAAUUCAUAUGAAACUGCAAAAGACCCCAAAUGUAAUAGGGAACUUUGUAUUCUACUACAAAGGGACGUUGCCUAUAAGAUUGUUAUAAGUGACGGCCCUUCUUUGAGAACGUUGCCUCCCAGCUAAUGAGCAUUAAGCUAAAACACCUUUGCUAGUUUCACAAGUAACAUCCUGACCAGGCUCACCUGUGACUGAGAGCAGGGAGGCUUAUGGGAACCAGGAAGUGUUUGACUUUACUCCUCCCCUUUAGUAUAAAAGAAGCCUGACUUCUAAGUCAGGCAAGCUGGUUCUUUGGGAUACAAGCCUAUCGUCUUCUUGGUCUGCUGGCUUUGUGAAUAAAGUCGUCAUUGCUCCCCUCUCCACUCCGGUACCCAUCUCUCCAUUUAAUGGCCUGUCAUGCGGCAAGUUGUUUGAGCUUGGACUCAGUAGUGGGUUUUGGCCCAGCCAGCCAGGAGUCUUGCUGUCUUGGUUAGCCAACCCGCUGGGCCCAAGCAACUCCCGAGGCCUAUCCUGAGAAUCCCCCCUUCACAGUUCUUCAAAGUGGCCCUGGCUGUCCCAGCGCUUGGCGGUUGGAGCAAGGAGCUGACGGGCUUCAUACAGUAGGAAACAUCCUGACCAGGCCCACUGCGAUGAUGCAGGAAGGAAGAAAUGAACACAUCCCUCUGGAGGCCGAUGGGAGCCAGGAAAUGUUUGACUUGACUCCCUUCCUUUUCUGCUAUAAAAGAAACCUGAAUUCUAACUCAGGCAUGAUGGUUCUUUGUGGCAUGAAUCCACUAUUUUCUUGGUCUGUUGGCUCUCUGAAUAAAGCUGCUAUUCAUUACUCCAA